AUUGAACGCUGGCGGCAGGCUUAACACAUGCAAGUCGAGCGGGGUGAUGGUGCUUGCACUAUCACUUAGCGGCGGACGGGUGAGUAAUGCUUAGGAAUCUGCCUAUUAGUGGGGGACAACAUCUCGAAAGGGAUGCUAAUACCGCAUACGUCCUACGGGAGAAAGCAGGGGAUCACUUGUGACCUUGCGCUAAUAGAUGAGCCUAAGUCGGAUUAGCUAGUUGGUGGGGUAGAGGCCUACCAAGGCGACGAUCUGUAGCGGGUCUGAGAGGAUGAUCCGCCACACUGGGACUGAGCCACGGCCCAGACUCCUACGGGAGGCAGCAGUGGGGAAUAUUGGACAAUGGGGGGAACCCUGAUCCAGCCAUGCCGCGUGUGUGAAGAAGGCCUUAUGGUUGUAAAGCACUUUAAGCGAGGAGGAGGCUCUUUUGGUUAAUACCCAAGAUGAGUGGACGUUACUCGCAGAAUAAGCACCGGCUAACUCUGUGCCAGCAGCCGCAGUAA
rnacentral:rRNA from 1 species